GAAAAAAGAAUACAUGGCCAAUAUCAUUUCUUUAUGUCAGUUAUUAUAUCAAGAUUUAUUAUUUUUUUUUCUAAUUCAUGCAUUUACAUGUAUAUUAUCCAUUUGUAUUCCACAUGUAGCUAUAUCAAAGACUAAAGAAAAUUGUAUGUCAAUUUUUUUAAUGAAUGGGAAUAUUAUGUUUGGUAAUGAUAAACGGGAUAAUUAAAGGCAGAUUGUGUAAUUUUUUUUUUUGCUGUAUCAUAGGGAAGUUUUUAUCAUACUAUAUCUCUCUCAGGUAAACGGUAGGAAACAUCUAGUCAUAUAUAACUUAUUUACAAUCUAGAUACAACUACAUGUAUGCAAUGGUUUCUUCCCCUUUUUCGUCUUUACACUGUAUAUACAUGAUUAUAUUUUCACCCCAAUAUUUACCCAAAAUUAAAUUCUCAAUUGGGCUAUAUCAAACAAACUUGACAUAUUUUUAAUAUUGCUGUCUGGGAGAAAAAUAUACAGUGAAAAUAUAAAUGGGUGGUUCAUUAAAUAUUUACUGGUUAAUUGUAUAGGUGAAGUACAUGUAUUUGUACCUGAUAAGUUCCUACAGUUUAAACUCUGAAACUGAUAAAAAUUAUUAUUUUUAUUUUCAGAAAGUAGUCUUUCAAAAUUUUAAAUUUUUGUUAUAAAAAUAAAUGUUUACAUUCCUAGUUUUUUUUUUACUUAAAAAACUUGUUUGCUAAAUUCAGUUUCUUCGUUCACAUUGACAUAUGCAUACACAUUCCUAGUUAAACAUGUGCUCAGUUUUCUAUUAGCAUAAAGCUUCCAUCUGAUUGUGUAUGACUGCUUCCUGUUUUAGCUUGGCAAUAAAUGAAAAUCAAG
rnacentral:sRNA from 1 species